AUCCGGGUUGCGGACAGUGUCUGGUGGGUAGUUUGACUGGGGCGGUCUCCUCCUAAAGAGUAACGGAGGAGCACGAAGGUUGGCUAAUCCUGGUCGGACAUCAGGAGGUUAGUGCAAUGGCAUAAGCCAGCUUGACUGCGAGCGUGACGGCGCGAGCAGGUGCGAAAGCAGGUCAUAGUGAUCCGGUGGUUCUGAAUGGAAGGGCCAUCGCUCAACGGAUAAAAGGUACUCCGGGGAUAACAGGCUGAUACCGCCCAAGAGUUCAUAUCGACGGCGGUGUUUGGCACCUCGAUGUCGGCUCAUCACAUCCUGGGUCUGAAGUAGGUCCCAAGGGUAUGGCUGUUCGCCAUUUAAAGUGGUACGCGAGCUGGGUUUAGAACGUCGUGAGACAGUUCGGUCCCUAUCUGCCGUGGGCGCUGGAGAACUGAGGGGGGCUGCUCCUAGUACGAGAGGACCGGAGUGGACGCAUCACUGGUGUUCGGGUUGUCAUGCCAAUGGCACUGCCCGGUAGCUAAAUGCGGAAGAGAUAAGUGCUGAAAGCAUCUAAGCACGAAACUUGCCCCGAGAUGAGUUCUCCCUGAGACUUAGAGUCUCCUGAAGGAACGUUGAAGACGACGACGUUGAUAGGCCGGGUGUGUAAGCGCAGCGAUGCGUUGAGCUAACCGGUACUAAUGAACCGUGAGGCUUAACCUUACAACGCCGAAG
rnacentral:rRNA from 1 species